AACGAACGCUGGCGGCAGGCUUAACACAUGCAAGUCGAGCGCCCCGCAAGGGGGGCGGCAGACGGGUGAGUAACGCGUGGGAACGUACCUUUUGCUACGGAAUAGCUCCGGGAAACUGGAAUUAAUACCGUAUGUGCCCUUCGGGGGAAAGAUUUAUCGGCAAAAGAUCGGCCCGCGUUGGAUUAGCUAGUUGGUGGGGUAAAGGCCUACCAAGGCGACGAUCCAUAGCUGGUCUGAGAGGAUGAUCAGCCACAUUGGGACUGAGACACGGCCCAAACUCCUACGGGAGGCAGCAGUGGGGAAUAUUGGACAAUGGGCGCAAGCCUGAUCCAGCCAUGCCGCGUGAGUGAUGAAGGCCUUAGGGUUGUAAAGCUCUUUCACCGGUGAAGAUAAUGACGGUAACCGGAGAAGAAGCCCCGGCUAACUUCGUGCCAGCCGCCGCCGUAAUAC
rnacentral:rRNA from 1 species